GGUGGUAUAGCUCAGUGAUAGAGCACUUGCAUGGUAUGCAUGUGGCCCUGGGUUUGAUUCCCAGCACCACAA
rnacentral:tRNA from 1 species